UAAAAUAGAUGCACAACGAUGUAACCAGUGGCCAGCUUAUUUGCCAAAAACAUCCCAACCAGAUUCCAACGCCUUGGUACAAAGUUAAUCUCAUUCUCGAAGAUGAAACAAAUGAAAUGAAUGCUUUGAUAAUCGGUAAAUGCGGCGAGAAACUUUUUGGCAUGCCUUGCAAAGACCUGGUAAUGAAUAAGAGACUGGUGGACCAGCAACUAUUACCAAACGAGUUUCUCAGGCUUAUUGGACAAAAGAAGGUUUUUCACUUACGAUUUGGCAACAGGAGGAAUACUUUUCAUACGAACGAUGUACUCAUUCAUAAUGUGACUGAGGAUACGACUAUGCAGCUAGUAACUCCGCAACCUUUGUCAACAGAACUCACAGUGUCCUCCACCAUUGUUUCAUCUUCUACUUCAACAGCUGAAACCACUGAGCAAUCAUAUUAACGGAAGAGGGAAUCAAUUAGGAGAGCUCUUUUUACCACCGACAAACAAAGUAGAGCCGAGGAAAUUUCAGACAUAGAUCCAAGAGAAUUGGAUGAAGUGCCAAUCAAAUUGCUUAAGAAGAAGUCAUCCCCGACUGGUGAAAAGUUGAACUCCACUCCUCCAAAAAGAAGCUAGGUUGGUUUUUCAAAA